rnacentral:rRNA from 1 species
UACGUAGGUGGCGAGCGUUGUCCGGAUUUAUUGGGUUUAAAAGGUGCGUAGGCGGCCCUAUAAGUCAGUGGUGAAAUAUCGCAGCUUAACUGUGAGGGUGCCAUUGAUACUGUAGGGCUUGAGUGAAUUUGAGGUAGGCGGAAUUGACGGUGUAGCGGUGAAAUGCUUAGAUAUCGUCAAGAACACCGAUAGUGAAGACAGCUUACCAAGCUUCAACUGACGCUGAGGCACGAAAGUGUGGGGAUCAAACAGG